AAACUUUAUUGAUCCCACAGUGGGGAAAAUCACUUGUUGCAGCAGCAAGAGUCGUACAGUAGUAAAGAAAAAGAGAAAUACUUACAUUAAAGAAAGCUAACUAAAAUGUACUGAAAAG